CCUACACAUGCAAGUCGAGCGGUAGAGAGUAGCUUGCUACUCUUGAGAGCGGCGGACGGGUGAGUAACGCGUAGGAAUCUACCUGGUAGAGGGGGAUAGCCCGGGGAAACUCGGAUUAAUACCGCAUACGCCCUUAGGGGGAAAGGAGGGGAUCUUUCGAGACCUUUCGCUAUCCUACGAGCCUGCGUAGGAUUAGCUAGUUGGUGUGGUAAAGGCGCACCAAGGCGACGAUCCUUAGCUGGUCUGAGAGGAUGAUCAGCCACACUGGGACUGAGACACGGCCCACACUCCUACGGGAGGCAGCAGUGGGGAAUAUUGGACAAUGGGGGCAACCCUGAUCCAGCCAUGCCGCGUGUGUGAAGAAGGCCUUCNGGCUGUAUAGCUUUUUCAUUGGUGAGGAAGGCU
rnacentral:rRNA from 1 species